rnacentral:rRNA from 1 species
GAUGAACGCUGGCGGCGUGCCUAAUACAUGCAAGUCGAGCGAACAGACGAGGAGCUUGCUCCUCUGACGUUAGCGGCGGACGGGUGAGUAACACGUGGAUAACCUACCUAUCAGACUGGGAUAACUUCGGGAAACCGGAGCUAAUACCGGAUAAUAUAUUGAACCGCAUGGUUCAAUAGUGAAAGACGGUUUUGCUGUCACUUAUAGAUGGAUCCGCGCCGCAUUAGCUAGUUGGUAAGGUAACGGCUUACCAAGGCAACGAUGCGUAGCCGACCUGAGGGGGUGAUCGGCCACACUGGAACUGAGACACGGUCCAGACUCCUACGGGAGGCAGCAGUAGGGAAUCUUCCGCAAUGGGCGAAAGCUUGACGGAGCAACGCCGCGUGAGUGAUGAAGGUCUUCGGAUCGUAAAACUCUGUUAUUAGGGAAGAACAAAUGUGUAAGUAACUAUGCAUGUCUUGACGGUACCUAAUCAGAAAGCCACGGCUAACUACGUG